AGAGUUUGAUCCUGGCUCAGGACGAACGCUGGCGGCGCGCCUAACACAUGCAAGUCGAACGAGCGAGAGAGAGCUUGCUUUCUCGAGCGAGUGGCGAACGGGUGAGUAACGCGUGAGGAACCUGCCUCAAAGAGGGGGACAACAGUUGGAAACGACUGCUAAUACCGCAUAAGCCCACGGCUCGGCAUCGAGCAGAGGGAAAAGGAGCAAUCCGCUUUGAGAUGGCCUCGCGUCCGAUUAGCUAGUUGGUGAGGUAACGGCCCACCAAGGCGACGAUCGGUAGCCGGACUGAGAGGUUGAACGGCCACAUUGGGACUGAGACACGGCCCAGACUCCUACGGGAGGCAGCAGUGGGGAAUAUUGCACAAUGGGGGAAACCCUGAUGCAGCGACGCCGCGUGGAGGAAGAAGGUCUUCGGAUUGUAAACUCCUGUUGUUGAGGAAGAUAAUGACGGUACUCAACAAGGAAGUGACGGCUAACUACGUGCCAGCAGCCGCGGUAAAACGUAGGUCACAAGCGUUGUCCGGAAUUACUGGGUGUAAAGGGAGCGCAGGCGGGAAGACAAGUUGGAAGUGAAAUCUAUGGGCUCAACCCAUAAACUGCUUUCAAAACUGUUUUUCUUGAGUAGUGCAGAGGUAGGCGGAAUUCCCGGUGUAGCGGUGGAAUGCGUAGAUAUCGGGAGGAACACCAGUGGCGAAGGCGGCCUACUGGGCACCAACUGACGCUGAGGCUCGAAAGUGUGGGUAGCAAACAGGAUUAGAUACCCUGGUAGUCCACACCGUAAACGAUGAUUACUAGGUGUUGGAGGAUUGACCCCUUCAGUGCCGCAGUUAACACAAUAAGUAAUCCACCUGGGGAGUACGACCGCAAGGUUGAAACUCAAAGGAAUUGACGGGGGCCCGCACAAGCAGUGGAGUAUGUGGUUUAAUUCGACGCAACGCGAAGAACCUUACCAAGUCUUGACAUCCCUUGACAGACAUAGAAAUAUGUAUUCUCUUCGGAGCAAGGAGACAGGUGGUGCAUGGUUGUCGUCAGCUCGUGUCGUGAGAUGUUGGGUUAAGUC
rnacentral:rRNA from 1 species